AACGAACGCUGGCGGCGGGGUUUAGGUCAUGCAAGUCGAGCGAGAAAGGGGCGAACCCGAGUAAAGACGGCGUAAGGGUGAGUAAUAGGUAGUUCACGUAUCCUCCAGACGCGGAUAAUUUCCCGAAAGGGAUUGUAAUACGCGAUGAGACCACGGCUGAUCAGUCAGCAGGGGUCGAACGGUUCGGGAUCCUUCGGGACCGAGCGCUGGUGGAGCGGACGACCUCCGAUUAGCUAGUUGGG
rnacentral:rRNA from 1 species